rnacentral:lncRNA from 1 species
AUUUGGGGUCAGAUGCUGAGAUUUGGGGCCGAUUGGGCUGAAUUUGGGGUCGGGUGCUGAGGUUUGGGGUCAGUCUGUGAGAAUUUGGGGUCAGAUGCUGAGAUUUGGGGUCAUUUUGUGAGAGUUUGGGGUCAGAUGCUGAGAUUUGGGGUCAUUUCAUGAGAGUUUGGGGUCAGAUCCAGAGAUUUGGGGUCACUAUGUGAGAGUUUGGGGUCAGAUGCUGAGAUUUGGGGUCAGUUUGUGAGAGUUUGGGGUCAGGGCCGGAGAUUUGGGGUCAGAUGCUGAGAUUUGUGGCCGAUUGGGCUGAAUUUGGGGUCGGGUGCUGAGGUUUGGGGUCAGUUUGUGAGAGUUUGGGGUCAGAUGCUGAGAUUUGGGGUCAGAUGCUGAGAUUUGGGGUCCGUUUGUGAGAGUUUGGGGUCAGGGCUGGAGUUUUGGGGUCAUUUCAUGAGAGUUUGGGGUCAUUUCAUGAGAGUUUGGGGUCAGAUGCUAAGAUUUGGGGUCUGUUUGUGAGAGUUUGGGGUCAGUCUGUGAGAGUUUGGGGUCAGAUCCGGAGAUAUGGGGUCAGUUUGUGAGAGUUUGGGGUCAGAUGCUGAGAUUUGGGGCCAAUACAGCUGAAUUUGGGGUCAUUUCUUGAGAUUUUGGGGUCGUUUUGUGGGAGUUUGGGGUCAGGUGCUGAAAUUUGGGGUGGAUUCAGCUGAAUUUGGGGUCAGUUUGGGCGAUUUCGGGGC